rnacentral:rRNA from 1 species
GACGAACGCUGGCGGCGUGCUUAACACAUGCAAGUCGAACGGAAAGGCCCUGCUUGCAGGGUACUCGAGUGGCGAACGGGUGAGUAACACGUGGGUGAUCUGCCCUGCACUUCGGGAUAAGCUUGGGAAACUGGGUCUAAUACCGGAUAGGAACCAUCUUUAGUGUGGUGGUUGGAAAGUUUUUUCGGUGUAGGAUGAGCUCGCGGCCUAUCAGCUUGUUGGUGGGGUAAUGGCCUACCAAGGCGGCGACGGGUAGCCGGCCUGAGAGGGUGUACGGCCACAUUGGGACUGAGAUACGGCCCAGACUCCUACGGGAGGCAGGAGUGGGGAAUAUUGCACAAUGGGCGCAAGCCUGAUGCAGCGACGCCGCGUGGGGGAUGAAGGCCUUCGGGUUGUAAACUCCUUUCGCUAGGGACGAAGCUUUGUUGUGACGGUACCUAGAUAAGAAGCACCGGCUAACUACGUG